ACCUGGGUGGCUCAGUAGGUAAAGCGUCCGACUUGGGCUUAGGUCAUGAUCUCACGGUUCGUGGGUUCAAACCCCACACCAGGCU
rnacentral:tRNA from 1 species